UACGUAGGGGGCCAGCGUUGUUCGGAAUUACUGGGUGUAAAGGGUUCGUAGGCGGUGCGGCAAGUUGGGAGUGAAAUCUCUGGGCUCAACCCAGAGACGGCUUCCAAAACUGCUGUGCUUGAGUGUGAGAGAGGCUCGUGGAAUUGCAGGUGUAGCGGUGAAAUGCGUAGAUAUCUGCAGGAACACCCGUGGCGAAAGCGGCGAGCUGGAUCACUACUGACGCUGAGGAACGAAAGCUAGGGGAGCAAACAGG
rnacentral:rRNA from 1 species